UACGGAGGGUGCAAGCGUUAUCCGGAUUCACUGGGUUUAAAGGGUGCGUAGGCGGGCAGGUAAGUCCGUGGUGAAAUCUCUGAGCUUAACUCAGAAACUGCCAUGGAUACUAUUGUCUUGAAUGUUGUGGAGGUAAGCGGAAUAUGUCAUGUAGCGGUGAAAUGCUUAGAUAUGACAUAGAACACCAAUUGCGAAGGCAGCUUACUACACAAAUAUUGACGCUGAGGCACGAAAGCGUGGGGGAUCAAACAGG
rnacentral:rRNA from 1 species